GCCCCCGUAGCUCAGUGGAUAGAGCAGGUGCCUUCUAAGCGCUUGGCCGCAGGUUCGAGUCCUGCCGGGGGCGCCA
rnacentral:tRNA from 2 species